UUGCAUUUUAAACAUUACAAAACUCACAUUUGUAUCAUAUAGGUGCACUUGUGGAAGUUGUGGGGCAAUGCCAACUGAGGCGGAGAGUGUAUGCUGCCAGGAGAUUCCACAGGUCACACGACGUAUGGAGCAGCUGGAGGGAAUGCCCCAAUGCGUGAUCGACCAUCCAGGGGUGUAUCCAGUGUGCCUAAAUGUUUAUUCUCUACAAACAGCGUGCAAUGUCUACAGAGCUGACCAUGGGCCUUUACGGCUACGGGGAAUAGAGCAUCGUUACAGGUAUCUUGCCUACAGAAACUUUGAGUUGGUGUUGGGGAUUCCUUGGACGCAAAAUAAGGGUUGUCAUCCCGUCGUGUGUGGUCCAGCGUGUUCGUCGACAGUUUCCUGACAGCCAAGGACAAUAUGUGGGUUUCAGACUGCCUCCCCUGGAUUGAAGCGAGACACAUAGCUGGCGAUCACCUCCUCCUUCUCUGGAUGUUCGAACUCAGAACACAGGUCCGGAGGGAUGUGGAUUUUCAGAAGGUCAUCCCUGUAUGCUGCUGGGUCUUCAAAGACUGGCCCCAUGAUGAAGCCCAUCAAUACUUCCACACAGUGGCGAUUUUGGUUUGGAAACUCUGGUGGGGCCCAUGCAGGAAAAUAUUAUAACGCAAUCCAGAAAUACCACAUAUUACUACCAUCACAAAAAAAACAGUAGCAAGUGACAGAGGGGACCAAAAUUGCAGCUGAAUAAUGCCAUCACUCAAACGCGAAUCUGACGACAUAUAUUAGGCUAUUAUAGCAAUAGCACCACCAAAUGGCAGCGUUCAAGAUCUCACAAUAUCAAAACUCAAGAAAACAACAACAUGGCAACAAUAAAAACACAACGGCGCACACCCUUUACACAGCAAUCAAUAUACAAAGCCACCACUCACAAUAUACCAAAAAAAUAAGAAGUAUGGUUUAAGUUGCAUUAAGUUUGCAGGCCACCAUACUGUACAAUUAACAAUGAA